rnacentral:tRNA from 1 species
GCUCGAUUGGUGUAAUGGAAGCAUCCCAGAUUCUCAAUCUGUAGGCGCGAGAUCGAUACUCGCAUCGAGUA